rnacentral:lncRNA from 1 species
GGGAUGCUGACCAUGGUGAUACCGUCCAAUUUACGAGAUAAGGAGACACUAUAAAUCAAACUAUUUAAUGCCUUAUUUCAUUUUAUUGCCAUCAUCUUAGAGUACAAAAUCAUAAUUUUAUGAUCCACAACAUUAGGAAAAAAGAAAAAAAAUAAUACAAUUAUUUGGUGCAUGCAUAAAAACUAAAUGAGAACUCCGCGAGUAUUCUAGCAUAGAGUAUAUUGUACAAUUCUUUAUCUAGAGUAUGAACUCCAAGUUCUCUUCACACUCUGCAUACAAUAGCCUUUACGACACCUAGCUAUAUAACCUUUCACUUGUUUACAAUCUUUAUCUGUUGUACAAGGACCAGAAUUAGGUACAAAAGCAGAAUCACAUACUAUUAUGACAAGAAAUAUAAAAAGAAGUAAAAUAAUAACAUAAAUAAACUUCACAUUUUUAGCCA